rnacentral:lncRNA from 1 species
GGUGGGCAACCGGUCAAAGCUGUUUUUGGAUUGGAUUUUAAAAUUUGACCAAACUUCGACUUGAUUUUGGAACACUCUCUGCUCAAAAUCAUAGGAAGUACUAUGAGUGGAAGGUAUUUUGUUUGAAAAGGGCUAACACUUGUAUAUUGGUCAAAAUUUAAGUUCUUAUAUAAAAUUUAUUUUUAUUUGCUUCAGAAGUGAUUCUCAACACGAGGGAGUUUCAACACUUGGUUCAAAAUCUGAGGUAUUUUUGGACCUUAACUCUCAGCAAAUUGGAGUUAGCUUUG